rnacentral:rRNA from 1 species
UCUCCUAGUAACGGCGAGUGAACGGAGAUUAGCCCAACGUCGAAGCCUAUUCAUUUAUAUGGACAAGGCAAUGUGAUGUUUGAGCACGCAUCUUAGAUGGCUCGUCUAUUCGAAGUCCAACUCCGAUUAUGGCUUUGGAUUUGUCCCAUAGAGGGUGAAAGGCCCGUUCGAGUAGACAAUUUUGUUUUCGAGCUGUCUUUUGAUAUGCAUGCUUUGGAGUCGGAUUGCUUGAGAAUGCAGUCCAAAGUGGGUGGUAAACUCCAUCCAAGGCUAAAUACUGGCACGAGUCCGAUAGUAGACAAGUACCGUGAGGGAAAGUUGAAAAGUACUCUGAAGAGAGAGUAAAUAGUACGUGAAGCCGACUGAAUGGAAGCUGAUGGAGUCAAGCUUUUUGCGAUGGGAAUUGAUGCGGAGGCUUUUUUGUUCUUGAACUGUGGCACGAAUGGCUUGCAAAGGCUUAGUGGUUUUCCACUUUAAGUCGUCCGGGCUGGUGACUUUUCUUGUGCCACUCUCUUUGGUCUCUUGUUUUAUUUUUCAUUGCAUACAUCAUGGUCAAUGUUAUCGCGGUGUGUCUUAAUCUAACCGGAUUUUUGCAAGCUUUUGCUUGCAGGAUUCGGGAUGGCAGGUGGUGGCUUUUGAGUUUCGGCUUAUCAGUCACGUAUAGUGGUUUUACUUGCUGAAUAGGAUGCUUCAACUACCGUCGAUACUAUUGUUUCUGUUGCACAUGUUCCCUUAAUUGGCUGCAUGUGUUAGAGCCAUGAUUUUGAAGUAGAUUUUCCAUCGGACCCGUCUUGAAACACGGACCAAGGAGUUUAACUUGCUCGCGAGUCAACGGAUUCUACUAAAUCCAUUGGCGCAAUGAAAGUAAACGGUUACUUCUCGUGACCGAAGGUGUGAUCCUUGCUUGUUCUGAACAGGGCUGUAAGGCGUAACACCGGCCCGUCUCGUUAUGUAGUCAUGCUGGUUACGGCUGGUGUGCAUCAUAGAGGCGGAGCAAGAGCGAGCAGGUUGAGACCCGAAAGAUGGUGAACUAUGCUUGCGUAGGUUGAAGCCAGAGGAAACUCUGGUGGAGGACCGUCGCGGUUUUGACGUGCAAAUCGAUCGUCAAACGUGAGCAUAGGGGCGAAAGACUAAUCGAACCAUCUAGUAGCUGGUUCCCUCCGAAGUUUCCCUCAGGAUAGCUGGCACUCAUUUGAUACAGUUUUAUCCGAUAAAGCGAAUGAUUAGAGGUAUUGGGGACUAUAUGACCUCAACCUAUUCUCAAACUAUUAAUGGGUACGAUGCAUGGCUCGCUUAAUUGGAGUUGUGCAUUGAAUGUGAGUGCCAAGUGGGCCAUUUUUGGUAAGCAGAACUGGCGCUGUGGGAUGCUCCGAACGUCAAGAUAAGGUGCCAAAUGUUAACGCUCAUGAGAUACCACAAAAGGUGUUAAUGCAUAUAGACAGCAGGACGGUGGCCAUGAAAGUCGGAAUCCGCUAAGGAG